rnacentral:rRNA from 1 species
UGGGGAAUAUUGCACAAUGGGCGAAAGCCUGAUGCAGCAACGCCGCGUGAGUGAUGACGGUCUUCGGAUUGUAAAGCUCUGUCUUUGGGGACGAUAAUGACGGUACCCAAGGAGGAAGCCACGGCUAACUACGUGCCAGCAGCCGCGGUAAUACGUAGGUGGCAAGCGUUGUCCGGAUUUACUGAGCGUAAAGGGUGCGUAGGCGGACCUUUAAGUGAGAUGUGAAAUCCCCGAGCUUAACUUGGGGGCUGCAUCUCAAACUGGAGGUCUAGAGUGCAGGAGAGGAGAGUGGAAUUCCUAGUGUAGCGGUGAAAUGCGUAGAGAUUAGGAAGAACACCAGUGGCGAAGGCGACUCUCUGGACUGUAACUGACGCUGAGGCACGAAAGCGUGGGGAGCAAACAGG